rnacentral:rRNA from 1 species
AUUGAACGCUGGCGGCAGGCCUAACACAUGCAAGUCGAACGAGUGGCGGACGGGUGAGUAAUGUCUGGGAAACUGCCUGAUGGAGGGGGAUAACUACGGGAAACGGUAGCUAAUACCGCAUACCAUCAGAUGUGCCCAGCGGGGAUUAGCUUGUUGGUGGGGUAACGGCUCACCAAGGCGACGAUCCCUAGCUGGUCUGAGAGGAUGACCAGCCACCCUGGAACGGAGACACGGGCCAGACUCCUACGGUAGGCAGCAGUGGGGAAUAUGGGACAAUGGGCGCAAGCCUGAUUCAGCCAUGCCGCGUGUAUGAAGAAGGCCUUCGGGGUGUAAAGUACUUUCAGCGGGGAGGCGUUACCCGCAGAAGAAGCACCGGCUAACUCCGUGCCAGCAGCCGCGGUAAUUC